GGGAUGGGACGGCUGCUGAUACUGCAGUCGAGCGAACGGACGAGAAGCUUGCUUCUCUGAUGUUAGCGGCGGACGGGUGAGUAACACGUGGAUAACCUACCUAUAAGACUGGGAUAACUUCGGGAAACCGGAGCUAAUACCGGAUAAUAUUUUGAACCGCAUGGUUCAAAAGUGAAAGACGGUCUUGCUGUCACUUAUAGAUGGAUCCGCGCUGCAUUAGCUAGUUGGUAAGGUAACGGCUUACCAAGGCAACGAUGCAUAGCCGACCUGAGAGGGUGAUCGGCCACACUGGAACUGAGACACGGUCCAGACUCCUACGGGAGGCAGCAGUAGGGAAUCUUCCGCAAUGGGCGAAAGCCUGACGGAGCAACGCCGCGUGAGUGAUGAAGGUCUUCGGAUCGUAAAACUCUGUUAUUAGGGAAGAACAUAUGUGUAAGUAACUGUGCACAUCUUGACGGUACCUAAUCAGAAAGCCACGGCUAACUACGUGCCAGCAGCCGCGGUAAUACGUAGGUGGCAAGCGUUAUCCGGAAUUAUUGGGCGUAAAGCGCGCGUAGGCGGUUUUUUAAGUCUGAUGUGAAAGCCCACGGCUCAACCGUGGAGGGUCAUUGGAAACUGGAAAACUUGAGUGCAGAAGAGGAAAGUGGAAUUCCAUGUGUAGCGGUGAAAUGCGCAGAGAUAUGGAGGAACACCAGUGGCGAAGGCGACUUUCUGGUCUGUAACUGACGCUGAUGUGCGAAAGCGUGGGGAUCAAACAGGAUUAGAUACCCUGGUAGUCCACGCCGUAAACGAUGAGUGCUAAGUGUUAGGGGGUUUCCGCCCCUUAGUGCUGCAGCUAACGCAUUAAGCACUCCGCCUGGGGAGUACGACCGCAAGGUUGAAACUCAAAGGAAUUGACGGGGACCCGCACAAGCGGUGGAGCAUGUGGUUUAAUUCGAAGCAACGCGAAGAACCUUACCAAAUCUUGACAUCCUUUGACAACUCUAGAGAUAGAGCCUUCCCCUUCGGGGGACAAAGUGACAGGUGGUGCAUGGUUGUCGUCAGCUCGUGUCGUGAGAUGUUGGGUUAAGUCCCGCAACGAGCGCAACCCUUAAGCUUAGUUGCCAUCAUUAAGUUGGGCACUCUAAGUUGACUGCCGGUGACAAACCGGAGGAAGGUGGGGAUGACGUCAAAUCAUCAUGCCCCUUAUGAUUUGGGCUACACACGUGCUACAAUGGGAAAAUACAAAGGGGAGCGAAACCCGGGAGGUCAAGCAAAUCCCUAAAAGUUUGUCCCAAGUCCGAAUGGGAGUCUGGGACUCCGUCCACUUGAAAACUGGGAACCCCUUGAAAUCUUAAAACCACCAGGCCACGGGGAAAACAUUCCUCGGGGUUUGGACAACCCGCUCGUCACACCCCCAAGAGUUUGAAGCCCCAAACCCGGGAGGAAACUUUUUGAGAAUUCCCUCACAAGGGGCAAAUUUGGAGAGUGGGAUGAGCACACCAGG
rnacentral:rRNA from 1 species